rnacentral:rRNA from 1 species
GAUGAACGCUGGCGGCGUGCCUAAUACAUGCAAGUCGAGCGAACAGACGAGGAGCUUGCUCCUCUGACGUUAGCGGCGGACGGGUGAGUAACACGUGGAUAACCUACCUGUAAGACUGGGAUAACUUCGGGAAACCGGAGCUAAUACCGGAUAAUAUAUUGAACCGCAUGGUUCAAUAGUGAAAGACGGUUUUGCUGUCACUAAUAGAUGGAUCCGCGCCGCAUUAGCUAGUUGGUAAGGUAACGGCUUACCAAGGCAACGAUGCGUAGCCGACCUGAGAGGGUGAUCGGCCACACUGGAACUGAGACACGGUCCAGACUCCUACGGGAGGCAGCAGUAGGGAAUCUUCCGCAAUGGGCGAGAGCUUGACGGAGCAACGCCGCGUGAGUGAUGAAGGUCUUCGGAUCGUAAAACUCUGUUAUUAGGGAAGAACAGAUGUGUAAGUAACUAUGCACGUCUUGACGGUACCUGAUCAGAAAGCCACGGCUAACUACGUG